CAUCCAAAAGUGUCGAACUGCUCUACUGCCCUGAAUAAGCAAAAUACAACAACAAAAUGAAACAAACAAGGUAACAAAAACUGAAACAGGGUUAAAGAAAAGUAAAAUCCAACUCCCCAGAUCGGAGCAUAAUGCCGUCAUUGCAAAAUAUUUACAGAAAAUGUACGACAAACGCUAUUACCCGUCCAAGAAGACAAUCAGCUAGUUACUUGGAGUCAUGUGGCAUUCCUAUGAUUAAAGACAUAACUUGGUAAGAUCAAUAUUCACAGAAAAUCAAUUGAGCAGUUGGGGAGGAUCUUGGCAUUCUCAGCAGUUUCUGUGAUGCCAAAAACAAAGAUCUUGGCAUGAUUCCUUCUACUCUGAACACCAGCUUUUCUAGAUUGCUUGCGUGUUUUAACAAAAACUCUAAAAACGGAAAUACGUCGUCAUCCUCAUCCUCAUCCCAAAUAACCUCAACUGUCCUCAACUGCAAAAAGGACUCGGGAGGAUAUGCUUCAAACUUGAGGUAGCUAUUGGCAUCAAAGUUGAGUGACUCUUGGUUUUUAUGCAUUUCAUAUUCUCCUCUAUCGUCAAGGACUAACUUCUUUAAUUGAGGAAAACUCUCAAGUAGACCUACUAAUAGUUUGUAGUCAUUGAAAUGAAAUCCAAGUUGCAAGGACUUGACAUUAGGAAAAGAGGAAUUCAUGCAUCUCUUAAUCAUAGCUCCAAGCACCUGAUGUCAAAUAAGUUCAUAAUAAUAAUCAGCUCACUGAUGCAAACACCAAGUAAGAUAAAAGGCAAGCAUUGAUUUUUAGGGAUGCAACAAUGAUUUCAUCAAAUUAAAAGAAUGUCAAACAUUACAUAUCAUUUAUAGUUAUUACAAUGCUAACAUACAAGUCACAAGCUUGAUGUUACAAAGUAAUGCAUAUAUAUAAAUUCUAGAAUGGAUUUAAAAAGGAUAGGAGUUAGUUGCAUGAUGAAAGUGGGAACUCUAAUAUACGUGGUUCACAUGCACACACUAAUUGAAGUUAGAAAUAAGAAAACAUGACUUAACAACUAUGCUCAAUAAAUAAUGAAAACUUCAUCAACAUAUUUAGAAUUAAUUUGAUCUCUUCAGCCUCAUUGCUACUCUAUUAAUACAUAACAAAUGCAAGACGCAUAAGAUAGUUUAAAGAAACCGAACCUUGAUGCAACAGAACAUUAAUAUGACGUUUUCAACAUGUUGGAUGGCUGAGAGAAUUUGACAGAACGCAUCUCCCAGAAAAUCAUCCGGGGUAAACAAGCCACGCUCAGUGUCUAUCCCGGGAAAGGAAUCAUAUACAUCAAAAUAAUGUAGACCAGAUAGCCCAAGAGUUGCGUGGGUUAAAGAUGAGACAUUAACCAACAGACACUUUUUAUAUGGAGCUCCUUCAAUUUCCAAGGUUUCAAGAUUUGGGGUACAAAUUAUCAGUUCUGAAUCCCAACAUUGAUAACCAAGAAGAGUAUAAUACUUUCGAAUCGACAGCACUUUCAAACUAGUAGAUCGGAAAGACAAGUUUUCAUACUCUCUAUCUGCAAAAGACAAGAUCAAGACUUCCAACCGAGGACUACCAGAUAAUAUUUGGUUAACCACAUGAUCAGUGACCCCAAAGCCAUCAAUAAUUGUUAAACUUUUGAGUUGAUUCCACUGCACAUCCCCAUAAACUCUAAAGUCUCUAAAGUUACAAUCCUCUAACCAUAACACUUUAAGAGAUGAGCACGAGUAUACACACUGCGGCAAACAGUACAUGUCGUCAAACAGAAUAUGCAAGUAUAAUUCUUCGACCCCCUUAUCCUUAGCAAAUUGAAGCCACAAAUCAAUACCCAAACAGAUGGAAUCAUCAAACUCAUAACCCGAUUUGAACUUGAAUUUCAGAACCCUUACCCCAUUCCAGCGUACUAAGGCCCGAUUAACGAAGUUUUGAAGCUCUCUACCAUCAUCAAAAUCCAUAGCACCAUUGUCGAAAUUAAGGUAGGGAGCGGUGGUCCAAAGGUUUUUCCAGCGCUUCGAUAGAAAUGUCGUCCUAACAACAUCAGUCAUAGGCAACGACCAAAAUAUGUGAAAUAUUAUCGAGUCCGGCAACUCACUGAGUCGAUCCAUGAAACCCUCUGAAACAUAAUGAAGCAUCAAAGGAAUGAAAUGUGCAUCAAAAACUCAGAAUUCACCUUUAAUGGAAGCAAAAUAACACAUUGUAGUAUCAAAUUCUCGAAGAUUACCUCAAGAUGAACGCUUCUUCGCUCUCGCGCCAACAAAACCCUUGUUUGAGCUAAUGAACAAACAAAGGAGACUCAAAAGGCAUUGUAGCAUUGCUGCCUAAAAGCGCUAAAGUGGAAAAUUAAGCUUGGAACUUGGGGUUUUAAAAUCGCAAAUCGAAAUAAAAGCUGCUAUUGCAUUCUUUUAUAGGGGUUUUAAUUUACGGUAAUGUUCUUUGAACAAAAUAUAUGUCCGCACAAAAAUAUGGUUAAAUAUUUUUAAAAGAUAAAUUUAUUUAAAAUUUUUGGUUCAAACAAAACAAGAAUUUUGUUAGUUUUAUUCAUUUCUCCUUAUUAUAUUUUUUGUAAUUAUUUAAUAAUAUUUUUAAUUUUUAUUAUUUUUAAAGUGCAAAAAUUACAAAAAAAGGAAAAUAAUAAAAAUUAAAAGAAUUGUUAAAAAAUUACAAAAAAAACUACAAUAUGAAAAAAUUAAUAAAGCUAAAUAAAUCCUGUUUGAAUUUGAACCAAAGAUUAUAAAUAAAUCAAGUUUUUUAAAUUUAUGACCUUUUUUUAUCAGAAUAAAUUUUGUCCAAAUAACACUGCCAUUUAAUUUAUUCUGUCACCAACCAAAACCAUUGGCAGAUUACCAUUUUAUCUCUCUUAAUUAAUACCUUCUCAUCAAAAGCGAGGUGGAUAUUUUUGUGAUAUUGGAGUAAUUACUAAUAGCAUCCACUUAAGAGCUACUACUUUAUAAGAAGGGACUUUAAAAUUGGUUUGAAAAUUUUUAUUUUUAUUUUAUUCAAAUUGAUUUCUUCAUUUUUGAAAUCAAACAUUUUAUUAAGUUUUAAAUUUAAACAUUACAAUGAUUAAAACAAAAUAUAGUAAUAAAAAAAUAUUACAAUAAUUAAAUAAAAUGAAGAGUUAGUUGGAAGAGGAGUGGGAAGAAGAAGACAUUUUAAAGGAGGAGAAUGAUAGAAAAUGAGUAGUGAGAAUUGAUGUGAAAAAUAGCAGAAAUGAAAUACUCAAUAGAUCAAUUUUAGAAUAAAAAAAAGUGAAACAACCGUUGCAUGACUAAUUAAAAGAAAUCGACAGAAAGAGCCAUUGAGAUCAAUUUAAAAUUUAAUUUUAAAAUGGUGUGCACAUAGGUUGAGCCUCAUAUUUCUAGACGAAAGUCUGACGUGAGGCUUAAAGCUCGGCACGAGCUUGAGGUGCGGCACUGGGAGGGCAGUGCGGAUAGUGGGGCUCGAUGUAGCAGGUACAGUCCCGUUGUGGCCCGUGUGGAUGCUCUAAAUAAAAAUAUAUAGUGUAUUUAUAUUAGGUAGCUUCCUUAAGGUGUAGUCUUCAUUAUAAUACCGCAGUCUUGUUUAAGGUUCACCUCAAUCAAUUAACGAACAAGGAUAAUGUAUCAUUCAUAUUUGUUAGAGCUAAUUUAUUAAUUCUAUUUUAUUUGUAUAGGUUUGUCUUUUUUAUUAAAUAUAUUAUAUUUAGGACAAUAUAUAUUGUUAGUUUGCAUUUGCAACAUAUUAAUUUGGUCAUGGCCGGAAAUAAUUUGGUUAUGGGCCGUUAUUUGGGCUCACCAUCCUUAAUUUUCAAGUUUCAAUAACUCUAUAAAUAGAACCCAAAAAUUGCACCAAAUAAAACCCCAAACACGUUUCUAUGAAAUCUAUUUUUUAAUGUUUAGAACUUAGAAACCCAAAAACUUUUUUAUUCCAUGGGCAACUCACUAUAAGAAGCUCCAUCGUGAUUAUGUUUUUUUUUUUUCCCUUUAUUAGUUUAACAGAAUAUUUAGUUGAUAACUAAGAAAAGAGGUGACAAUUUCAGUUCUCUUUUGCUUGAAUACCAACAGAAAUCUGAAUGAUCGACGUUUUAUACGUGAGAGAAAUGAAAUUGUUAGCCUAUCAUAUGAAGCACUAGAUUAAUUUGACAUUGGGAAGUAAAGCAAGAUAAACAACAAUAGUGCUACUAAUGAAAAUUGCUCUGCUUCCCUAAAUAAGCAAAUAUAUAAAGAAAAUUUGAAGACGAAACAAAAGGAUAUCAAGCUCAGCACAUACUGCAUUCCUAUGAAUAUGAUUGAAGACAUAACUUGGUAAGAUCAAUAUUCAAAAAAGUAAAUUGUGCAGUUCAUGAGGUUUCAUUCAUAGCACUAAGAAAUUCAUCCAAAAGUGUCGAACUGCUCUACUGCCCUGAAUAAGCAAAAUACAACAACAAAAUGAAACAAACAAGGUAACAAAAACUGAAACAGGGUUAAAGAAAAGUAAAAUCCAACUCCCCAGAUCGGAGCAUAAUGCCGUCAUUGCAAAAUAUUUACAGAAAAUGUACGACAAACGCUAUUACCCGUCCAAGAAGACAAUCAGCUAGUUACUUGGAGUCAUGUGGCAUUCCUAUGAUUAGAGACAUAACUUGGUAAGAUCAAUAUUCACAGAAAAUCAAUUGAGCAGUUGGGGAGGAUCUUGGCAUUCUCAGCAGUUUCUGUGAUGCCCGAAACAAAGAUUUUGAUGGACAUUUAG
rnacentral:lncRNA from 1 species